rnacentral:misc_RNA from 1 species
GAUGAAGAACGUAGCGAAAUGCGAUACGUAAUGUGAAUUGCAGAAUCCCGUGAACCAUCGAGUCUUUGAACGCAAGUUGCGCCCGAAGCCACUAGGCCGAGGGCACGCCUGCCUGGGCGUCACACGCCGUUGCCCCCCCAUCUACUCCUUCGGGAUUGCGGGGGGGCGGAUGAUGGCCUCCCGUGCGCCUAGCCGCGCGGUUGGCAUAAAUACCAAGUCCUCGGCGACGCACGCCACGACAAUCGGUGGUUGCGAAACCUCGGUUGCCCGUCGUGUGCGUUCGUCGCGCAUCGAGGGCUCGAAAAAAUGCUCGGCUCCGGCUGGGCUUUCAACGCGACCCCAGGUCAGGCGGGGUUACCCGCUGAAUUUAAGCAUAUCAAUAAGCGGAGGA